rnacentral:rRNA from 1 species
GACGAACGCUGGCGGCGUGCCUAAUACAUGCAAGUAGAACGCACAGUUUAUACCGUAGCUUGCUACACCAUAGACUGUGAGUUGCGAACGGGUGAGUAACGCGUAGGUAACCUGCCUGGUAGCGGGGGAUAACUAUUGGAAACGAUAGCUAAUACCGCAUAAUAUUGAUUAUUGCAUGAUAAUUGAUUGAAAGAUGCUAUUGCAUCACUACCAGAUGGACCUGCGUUGUAUUAGCUAGUAGGUGAGGUAACGGCUCACCUAGGCGACGAUACAUAGCCGACCUGGUAGGGUGAUCGGCCACACUGGGACUGAGACACGGCCCAGACUCCUACGGGAGGCAGCAGUAGGGAUUCUUCGGCAAUGGACGAAAGUCUGACCGAGCAACGCCGCGUGAGUGAAGAAGGUUUUCGGAUCGUAAAGCUCUGUUGUAAGAGAAGAACGGGUGUGAGAGUGGAAAGUUCACACUGUGACGGUAUCUUACCAGAAAGGGACGGCUAACUACGUG